GGACGAGCCUCUGGAGAGAUCCAUUAGUGGACACCGAAGGAGAAAAAUAGUUAUUAAAUUAUAACUAUUGAAACUCUCAGGUAAAAGGACAGAGGAUAGGAU
rnacentral:ncRNA from 2 species